rnacentral:miRNA from 1 species
UCUUAUGCUUCCAGACUUUGA